AAAUUUUAUGAAUUGUUUAUUUCUGAAAUUUUCCAUUUAAUAAUUUCUGACCGUGGUUAACCUCAGGUAACUGAAACCACAGAAAGCAGAAACU